AAACAAGUCGCCUGGGAUCUUGUUAAAAGGCAGAUUCUUCUUUGGGAGGUCUGGGGCGGGGCCGAAGAGCCUGCAUUUCUAACAAGCUCUCAGGUGAUUCUGAG
rnacentral:pre_miRNA from 1 species